rnacentral:rRNA from 1 species
UACAGAGGUCUCAAGCGUUGUUCGGAUUCAUUGGGCGUAAAGGGUGUGUAGGUGGCGCGCUAAGUCGGGUGUGAAAUUUCGGAGCUUAACUCCGAAACUGCAUUCGAUACUGGCGUGCUUGAGGACUGGAGAGGAGACUGGAAUUCAUGGUGUAGCAGUGAAAUGCGUAGAUAUCGUAAGGAAGACCAGUGGCGAAGGCGGGUCUCUGGACAGUUCCUGACGCUGAGGCACGAAGGUCAGGGGAGCAAACGGG